rnacentral:tRNA from 2 species
GGUUCGUUAGUGUAAAGGCUAACACUCCUGAUUGUCUAUCAGGCACUACGAGUUCGAGUCUCGUACGGACCGCAA